AGAGUUUGAUCCUGGCUCAGGACUAACGCUGACGGCGUGCCUAAUCUAUGCAAGUCUUUGAUCACUUGUGGUCAAGACAGACGAGUGAGUAACACGUAGGAAUCAACCCAAAAGUUGAGAAUAAUCCACCGAAAGGUGGCAUAAUACUCGAUAGUCUCUUCGGAGUAAAGCUUCGGCGCUUUUGGACGAGCCUGCGUCCUAUCAGCUAGUUGGUAAGGUAAUUGCUUACCAAGGCUAUGACGGGUAGGGGGUGUGAGAGCAUGUACCCCACGAUGGCACUGAGAUACGGGCCAUACAUCUACGGAUGGCAGCAAGUAGGAAUUUUGCGCAAUGGUCGUUUUUACGACUGACGCAGCGACGCCGUGUGAAGGAAGAAGGUUUUCGGAUUGUAAACUUACAUUAAAAAGGGGCGGCUAACUUCGUGCCAGCAGCAGCGGUAAUACGGAGGCCCCAAGCGUUGUCCGGUUUUAUUGGGCGUAAAGAGUUCUGUAGGCGGUUUUAUAAGUUACGGGUUAAAUACUUCGGCUCAACCGAAGACCUGCUCGUAAUACUGUAAAACUAGAGAUAGAUAGGGGAGGGUAGAACGCAUGGUGUAGUGGUGGAAUACGUUGAUAUCAUGCGGAAUACCGAAGGCGUAGGCAGCCCUCUGGAUCUAUUCUGACGCUAAGAGACGAAAGCGUGGGUAGCAAAACGGAUUAGAUACCCGUGUAGUCCACGCCGUAAACGAUGUUCACUAGAUCCGUGUCUACCUUUUGGUAGGUGCGAGUCGCAGCUAACGCAUUAAGUGAACCGCCUGGGAAUUACGGUCGCAAUGCCAAAACUCAAAGGAAUUGACGGGGACCCGCACAAGCGGUGGAGCGCCUGCUUUAAUUCGAUGGUAAGCGAAGAACCUUACCGAGGUUUGACAUGAUACUGCAAACUCUAGGAAACUAGAGCGUCCUUCGAGGGUGUAUCACAGGUAUUGCAUGGCUGUUGUCAGCUCGUGUCGUGAGAUGUACCGUUAAGUCGGGUAACGAGCGCAACCCUUAUCGUAGUUGUAUCACUCUAGCGAGACUGCCCUGGCAACGGGGAGGAAGGAGAGGAAGAUAACAAGUCAGCAUGGUCCUUAUGCCUCGGGCGAGACAGACGCUACAAUGGCCGGUACAAUGGGCUGCGACCUAGCAAUAGGAAGCGAAUCUCACAAAGCCGGUCUCAGUUCGGAUUGAAGGCUGAAAUUCGCCUUCAUGAAGUUGGAAUCGCUAGUAAUCGUAGGUCAGCUAUACUACGGUGAAUACGUUCUCGGGUCUUGUACACACUGCCCGUCAGGUCAGCAGAGUUGAGAAUACCCGAAGUCUGCCAUAUUUGGUGGCCUAAGGUAGGCUCAGUGAUGAGGAUUAAGUCGAAACAAGGUA
rnacentral:rRNA from 1 species